ACGACGCACUGAUAAGGAUGUGAGUAUUUUCCUCUUCCUCUACCAUACACGCGUUGAAUGUUCACGAUAAAGCAGAAUUGUCAGCCAAUGACGUCAGGCUGAGGUUAUGGCGGACGUAUUUGAGCGAGUGCGCUCGUGCUCCGUAUCGGGGAUGAUCAAGGCUGCACGUCAUUGCAACGCUCUCAAGAGGGCGUGUUUUAAGAUUGGGCAAUCGAUGACACCUUGGCGAAUGCGUGACAAAUAGAUGAUUAUCGAAAACCACUUCUCGCGGACGAAGAUCAACGUCCGAAAGCGAAUCAACGAAGCGAAACCUCCUAAAUCGUACGUCGAUUUCGAUUUAAAACGGACCUCGAACCACACAUGACUCGAUAAGAAAUUCAACUACGCGCCCAAAACGAUGUCGCGAUUAAAUUCGAUAUAUCACUUACUGACAUGUCACCAUGUGCGUCUGACACACUGCGUAUCACGGAAUCAUUUUAUUUCUAUUCAACACGCCCGAUUUGAUGUCACUUAAUCAACGGUACUCUACUCCAAAUACCAAAUAGACAGUAUUAUUUUAAUCGAAUUACACGAAUUAUAUUCUCAUACCGAAAAACAGUGUCAACAAUUCUACACAGGAGUCGAAGAUGCGUAUACCAAUACUUCUCCCGCCCACUUGUCGAGCAAUUGUUUAAACAACACAGUCGCGGUAAUACCGUCGUAACUCACUGAACGUUACCAUUCAUAGUCAGCGAUGAACUGUUCGACGAAUAGUUAAAUGCACAAUGCAUUUCCGCGGAUGCUGUUCGAGAUUCCUGCUCGCGCGCGUGCGACGAUGAUUGUUUACCUCGCAGAAAUGCAAAGAGUAAAAGAAAUUUCAACCUGAAUCGGCAAUCGUACCUCGAAGAGAUUUCUUCCACCGCAUCGUCGCCGGUCGCCGGAAUCUAGUUCUGCGGAAAAUAUUUACACCGGAUAAAUGUUAACCGAAAACACUGAUGCCCACGACCAUAUGGCGACAACCUGGCCGUCGCUCAUAGUUAGAAAUUCAUUUUAACUGCGCCUACGGAGCACACGGUCGCUCAUGCGGCGCAUGAGCAUUACCGAUCCGGCGUAAAGGGUGGGCAAAAGGAAAUCGGAUACAACACGUUUAAAUUAAGGUUACAACACAACGACGCUGGAUAAGUAUCUGUCGCUCGGUCGAGUCGUCGUUACUCGCUGAAACUGAGAAGCGACAUUCUGAUUCUUUUCAUAAGACAACGCGGAAUGCCUCUAAAUGACACUUGAAUUUUCAGCCGGAACGAGAUAAUGCGCAGCCACGCACACGCGUUCCGUCUCUCUUCGACUGUAGAAAGUGAAUUGUCAAGACACGUCGGUGGAAAGGGGACUUGGCAUCGUUGACUGUUUGCAGUCUGAUUGUGAAGCUUCGGUUUAACUUUAUUUCCGAGUUCCGGCACUGUCCAGGGAAAGUCAACGUGACUCGCGUUACAAACGAUUGACAACGGAGGAAGCUGUUGCACGCCCAACGGUCUCUGCCUGCUCACACCCAUCAAAUGGUGCACAGCGUGUCACAAAUCAAAUUAACGGUAAUUCGCUUUUGAAUUAAUUACAGAGGACAACGCUGACAAACGAUAAGCGAACGAGUCAUAAAUUGGAGAAAGAUAAGUAACGCUGAGUUCAACAGUUUCUCAUAUUUAGACACGCAGAUAAUCAGUUUACUGAACUAUAAUGGGAACGGAUGCCUGGAAUCAACGUUUGUCUUAUAAUCAUCACGUUGAAUGCGCAAUGUCACAGAGUACAAAAUGGAAGAAUAAUCAUUGGAUUGAAUGACGCUAUUACACAUUAGACAGCAUUAUUUACAAUAUAGAAAUAUUUCCAAAUAAUCAUCGUUCAAUUGAGUGAACUAUGUAAUUCAAUUUAGGGGUCACCGACGACCCCACGGCAUUUGUAUUAAAGAAGUCUUUGAAGCGGACAGAAAAGGCGAAGAAAACUACGCGUUGAAAAGACAAAGAAGAUAAUAAUUCCCGUCAACCUUGAUAACGUAAUGCAACCGGGCGUCACGGUUGCUCAACGCGUAAGAGAGAAAAUCGAAAAUGAUCGCCGGACGAUCGAAUAGAACGACUCGAGUUCUCUCUCGGGCUUUAACGCGUUAAGCGCCAUGUCAGCCACUGGUGACCGACGCUUCUGAAUGACUAAAAACCAAUCGUAACGUACAAGACAACCGAUGUGAAAUAAAAAUGUUUAACAACGCAACUUUUCCAACGAUGGAUCAUUUAUUUUUUGAGACAAACAUCGUUCGGCGAGAACAGCUGGCAAACCGUUCUGGAAAUGAUAAGUUUGGGAUUGGACCUGGAAGGCGUCACUCCGUUUGGCUCUACGCGCACGUGUAGGACACUCCCACAGAGCUCGGUACUCGAAAUAGCGAGACACGCCGGCGUUUCUCACACAAAACUGUGGGAGAAGUGUUUUUCCACUUGAGAGACCGAUUUUCUUGUCCCUAAACGAGGAGGAAACGUCUGGAACGAUCUCGGGCGGUCGUAAAUCACUUUCCACGGUUGGAAGAAAUUGCACGGGGACCUGCAGUCUCUUUCUAGGAAGAAAGGAACCGGUACACCGCCGAGAAUUACGCAAAAUAUUGAUUCCUUUUCAUCAACACUAGGUUUACGUUCACUGUGCGGUUUGUUCUAUUGUUCCUAGAAAAAUUGACAUUUGAUAGCUUGGAUCAUGGGAAUUAGGGAUUUAAAAAUAGAUUACUAGGAUACAUAUUAUAAUCGAAACGGACAUAAACAUUUACCAAUAUUUAUAAAAUUUAAUAUCCGUCAAAUCGACGGAUUCCGUAAACCUAGUGUUAAGAACGACGAGAUGUUUGAUUUUCUGGGAGACCCUUCGUUUACAGUUCUCUCUUUUUAUACUCGUAUCAUUUGCGAAUGCUCGUUGUAAAUUAACACCGAGCUAGUUGAAGAUAGGUGUGACGCAAUGCGAGCAACGUGGAGGCACACGAGUGACACGCAGGCUAUAACAGCUGUAACUAUGCUAUGAACCUCCCGGCGAGUUACCGAACGAAGUCCAAGCGAAACAAAACCGCUGGAAAGGUCGGACAAAGAUUUAAUAUCCUUCCCCGUCCAGAGACACAUCUGUCCGCGCGACGAGCUUUUGUGUAAUUCCCGAUUUCAUCGGUCAGUCCUUGAACACGUGAAUCCGCAUCGAGUUUCACUGUUCGGUUGUAGCAAAUGCGACGCCGCUAGCGUCCAGAUGUUGACUAUCCCAUUGUUGCUCGUGUCCUGUUUCACUGAACUUGAAUGUCGACGAUGCUCCUAUCGGUGUCGCUGUGUCGGCGACGGUGGGGGCGUGGGAGUGGCUGACGAAGGUGAGAAACGCGUUAGAAAUUUUGUGGACGUUAUUCUGGGAUUCUUGGACCGCGCCGUACUCAUUAGUAACGAGUAGACGACAGGUGUUCCAGCGACAACAAUGUUCGCGAACGCGCGAAGUAUGCUACAAUAAGAAUUUCAUCUUGCUUCGUUUUUCAGGGGUCGAUCCGCGCAGCUCCGAACUCGCAGGAAUUUGCAGAAUCGACUGACAAACGUUUCGAAGGCAAAACUAGUUUGCAGACGAUGCGCAGCAGUCGAAAGACUGUUUGUUGGUGGUAUAUCGAGAAUAUAUUAGCGACUCGAUUAAAACAGGAAUUAUGGAACGUAAACUGAACGAACUUCAGAUGACUCAUUCUUCCA